GCUGAGUGAGUAGGUGACCACAGCUGUGGCCAGCUCAAUUAGGGCCCAGCUGGCCCUGAUAAGAGGGCUGUGGGCCAGGACCUGGAAGUGUCUCACUCUAGCCGUGGAGUGGGAAGGGCUAGCUGCUUGGGAGCAAGGUACCUGAACUGGAGCAGUGCUGAGGAAUAGGGUUGCUCUAUUAUCCAUGAGGAGCCAAGAGCAAACCCAGGAGAUUCAUGCCAGGAUAAUGACAUAGAAGAUAACAAACCAGGAUGCUGUGGAUUGUUCAGAGACUUGAUUUAUUUACCUUGUUUCUCCACAUCCUUCAGAGGGUCAACCCCUGGCGACAGGAUAAAGAACAUUGGGGUUGCGGGUCCUGACUCCUCAAAUGAUGUUGCAAAAUCUAGAGAUCUUCCAACCACAUAUUUACUUCCCAGCUUUUCUUCAACAAAAUCUCUGCCAGAAAAACAUUGCAAGACUGUUAAUAUUCAGAAAAGCCAGAAAUACCCAGAGCAGACAGUAUAUUCCUAAGCCAAUGCACAAUCUAUUAAGUGUAUUUAUUGUAUCUUGCAAACGCAGAGAAAUAAGAAACCUCAUGAUAAGCUGGAUGCAAAAUGCAGAAUCCUAAUCAGGAUUUGUAGCUUACCAUUAGGAAUUGCUAUUUCAGUAGAAGUGUCCCUGCACAUGAUAUAUGUUUUUGAAGCCCCUGUGUGACAUAAACAAACAGAAAAUGAGAGGAAAAGAAGAGAGAACCAGCCAUGGCAGGGGAUUCUCAGGGCUGUUGUGGUGAGAGGGAUAUGUUGGGAGGUUCUGGUGACUGUCUGGAUCACAAACCUCUUUGAGACUGGAUGUGAACACAUCAUCAAUUAACUGUCAGGAUUAGUUAAUCAGAAGCCCCCCCCCCCUUGAGAUAAACGGUGGUUGUGAACCCACCCAGGAGUUUGAAUGGAGUGGAGGAAGGGGUUUUGUGGGGUGGAAGGUAGGCAGAACAGACAGAAACUGAGGACACACAGAACAGAGACUGGAAGGCAAAAAAGCAAUAAAGCCAAGCAGAAGCCUGUGAGCACGCUGUGACCCUGGGGAAAAGCUAGAGCCUUUGAGUCUGUUGGCUAAGGAGGCUUGCGGCUGUACAUCGAGAAACAGCUCCUUUUGUUCCUGGUUCCUCCUGCUCCUGGGUUCAGAGAAGCAGGACUUCAUAAAUUUCUUGCAAAUAAACAAGAUGACAUCAAAGAAAUUACCAGCCUCCAUCAAUUUCUACUUCCACCUGGACAUCUCCAGGGUUCCAAAAUCUGAUUAGCUGCUUGGAUCAAAACAGUGUAGAACAUACAGAAUGGCAGAACAGGAAGUCAAAUAGAAUCCCCAUUUUCUGGAGUCCCUUGCAAAGUUAGUAUUUUCAGCUGCCAUUUAUUUUCUCCUCUAUCUCA